AUUGAACGCUGGCGGCAUGCCUUACACAUGCAAGUCGAACGGCAGCACGGGGCAACCUGGUGGCGAGUGGCGAACGGGUGAGUAAUGCAUCGGAACGUGCCAUUGAGUGGGGGAUAACGUAGCGAAAGUUGCGCUAAUACCGCAUAUUCUGUGAGCAGGAAAGCAGGGGGACCGUAAGGCCUUGCGCUCUUUGAGCGGCCGAUGUCAGAUUAGCUAGUUGGUGAGGUAACGGCUUACCAAGGCGACGAUCUGUAGCGGGUCUGAGAGGAUGAUCCGCCACACUGGAACUGGAGACACGGUCCAGACUCCGUACGGGAGGCAGCAGGUGGGGUAAUUUUGGACAAGUGGGCGCAAGCCUGAUCCAGCCAUGCCGCGUGAGUGAAGAAGGCC
rnacentral:rRNA from 1 species